rnacentral:rRNA from 2 species
CAAAGAACUUUGAAGAGAGAGUUUAACAGGACGUGAAACCGCUUAGAAGGAAACGGACGGAGCUGAAAAGUCAGCUGUCGGAUUCAAUCUUUCAGACUGCAUUCUUGCAGUAGAAGGAUGCAUUUCUGGCAGCUGCGCGUUACGACCAAUGUUCACCCUGGCUAAGUGUAGUAGAGUGCCGGCUAAACUUCGGUUUAGUGUCCCAUCUACUGCGAACUGCCGUGUGGAGACCAUUGGAGACUUGCCCUGUUCGCCUUGCUCGUUUGCGGCCAUUGCUUGACGGUUUGACUGCUAAGUUCUAAUUGCAGAACUUGGCGACUACCUGUAAAGUUAACUGGUUGAUAAGUGAAGCAGCAGUUUAGGUCUGUGACGUCCGUGUCAGCCACCCGUCCGACCCGUCUUGAAACACGGACCAAGAAGUCUAACAUGUGCGCAAGUCAUUGAGUGGAAAACUCACAGGCGCAAUGAAAGUGAAAGCUGGUUCCGCCAGCCAAGGUGAGAUCCUGAGCUUGCUCGGGCGCAUCACCGCCCCACCUUAAAGAAGUUUCUUCUGGGGUGGAGGUAGAGCGUACAUGUUGGGACCCGAAAGAUGGUGAACUAUGCUUGAGCAGGAUGAAGCCAGAGGAAACUCUGGUGGAGGUCCGUAGCGGUUCUGACGUGCAAAUCG